CAAGUCGAGGGGCAGCAUUUCAGUUUGCUUGCAAACUGGAGAUGGCGACCGGCGCACGGGUGAGUAACACGUAUCCAACCUGCCGAUAACUCGGGGAUAGCCUUUCGAAAGAAAGAUUAAUACCCGAUGGUAUAAUCAGACCGCAUGGUCUUAUUAUUAAAGAAUUUCGGUUAUCGAUGGGGAUGCGUUCCAUUAGGCAGUUGGUGAGGUAACGGCUCACCAAACCUUCGAUGGAUAGGGGUUCUGAGAGGAAGGUCCCCCACAUUGGAACUGAGACACGGUCCAAACUCCUACGGGAGGCAGCAGUGAGGAAUAUUGGUCAAUGGGCGCAGGCCUGAACCAGCCAAGUAGCGUGAAGGAUGACUGCCCUAUGGGUUGUAAACUUCUUUUAUAUGGGAAUAAAGUUUUCCACGUGUGGAAUUUUGUAUGUACCAUAUGAAUAAGGAUCGGCUAACUCCGUGCCAGCAGCCGCGGUAAUACGGAGGAUCCGAGCGUUAUCCGGAUUUAUUGGGUUUAAAGGGAGCGUAGGUGGACAGUUAAGUCAGUUGUGAAAGUUUGCGGCUCAACCGUAAAAUUGCAGUUGAUACUGGCUGUCUUGAGUACAGUAGAGGUGGGCGGAAUUCGUGGUGUAGCGGUGAAAUGCUUAGAUAUCACGAAGAACUCCGAUUGCGAAGGCAGCUCACUGGACUGCAACUGACACUGAUGCUCGAAAGUGUGGGUAUCAAACAGGAUUAGAUACCCUGGUAGUCCACACAGUAAACGAUGAAUACUCGCUGUUUGCGAUAUACAGUAAGCGGCCAAGCGAAAGCAUUAAGUAUUCCACCUGGGGAGUACGCCGGCAACGGUGAAACUCAAAGGAAUUGACGGGGGCCCGCACAAGCGGAGGAACAUGUGGUUUAAUUCGAUGAUACGCGAGGAACCUUACCCGGGCUUAAAUUGCAUUUGAAUAANNUGGAAACAGGUUAGCCGCAAGGCAAAUGUGAAGGUGCUGCAUGGUUGUCGUCAGCUCGUGCCGUGAGGUGUCGGCUUAAGUGCCAUAACGAGCGCAACCCUUAUCUUUAGUUACUAACAGGUCAUGCUGAGGACUCUAGAGAGACUGCCGUCGUAAGAUGUGAGGAAGGUGGGGAUGACGUCAAAUCAGCACGGCCCUUACGUCCGGGGCUACACACGUGUUACAAUGGGGGGUACAGAAGGCAGCUACCUGGUGACAGGAUGCUAAUCCCAAAAGCCUCUCUCAGUUCGGAUCGAAGUCUGCAACCCGACUUCGUGAAGCUGGAUUCGCUAGUAAUCGCGCAUCAGCCAUGGCGCGGUGAAUACGUUCCCGGGCCUUGUACACACCGCCCGUCAAGCCAUGAAAGCCGGGGGUACCUGAAGUACGUAACCGCAAGGAG
rnacentral:rRNA from 1 species